rnacentral:rRNA from 1 species
AGAAUCAACGCUGGCGGCGUGCCUAACACAUGCAAGUCGCACGAGAAAGGGUAGCAAUACCUGAGUACAGUGGCGCACGGGUGAGUAACACGUGAAUAAUCUACCUCCGAGUGGGGAAUAACUGAGAGAAAUCUUAGCUAAUACCGCAUAAUACCCACGGGUCAAAGCAGCAAUGCGCUUGGAGAGGAGUUCGCGGCAGAUUAGUUAGUUGGCGGGGUAAUGGCCCACCAAGACGAUGAUCUGUAUCCGGCCUGAGAGGGCGCACGGACACACUGGAACUGAAACACGGUCCAGACUCCUACGGGAGGCAGCAGUGGGGAAUUUUGCGCAAUGGGGGAAACCCUGACGCAGCAACGCCGCGUGGAGGAUGAAGCCCCGUUGGGUGUAAACUCCUUUCGAUCGGGAAGAUAAUGACGGUACCGAUAUAAGAACGCCCCGGCUAACGUUCGCGCCAGCAGCCGC